GUGUGCUUACCAGUGCUGUGGCAGUGCCAAGAUUAUAUUGCUUGGGAACGUAAGAAUUAUUGUGAGGAAACGACGCGGUAAAACGAGGACACACGACAGUAUAGCGAGUAAACAAGACAGUAUUACAAAUAACGCUAUAGAUUUACUUUUUUAAAAUGGCAGACAGGUGAUUGUGCACUACUGGGAUCAAGGGUAGGAGAUAAUGUACAGCCGACAUUCUAAGUCCGAAGUUGAGGUGACUCCCACCAACAGAUAACACGCUGGCAGGUGCAGCAUGUGGCUGACGUUGGAUGCACGGAUGACUUUGGGUACAUGGCUGUCUUCGGGUACAUGGCUACUUGUGUUGUUACCACAUGUCAUAACAGUAAGCACGCCGUCAUCCCCCCUCAACAUCACCUGUUUUACAAAUGGAUCUAUCAACGUUCUUCAGAACAACUCUAAUAAUCCUGAGAUAUUUGUGGUUGGAAGCAGACCCGCUUGUUCUGAUGCUGAGAAACAUUUCACAGUUGACUCCAGGGGACACUUGCUGAAUACGUCAU